rnacentral:rRNA from 1 species
GACGAACGCUGGCGGCGUGCUUAACACAUGCAAGUCGAACGGUAAGGCCCUUCGGGGUACACGAGUGGCGAACGGGUGAGUAACACGUGGGUGAUCUGCCCUGCACUUCGGGAUAAGCCUGGGAAACUGGGUCUAAUACCGGAUAAGACCACCGCCCGCAUGGGUGGUGGUGGAAAGCUUUUGCGGUGUGGGAUGGGCCCGCGGCCUAUCAGCUUGUUGGUGGGGUGAUGGCCUACCAAGGCGACGACGGGUAGCCGGCCUGAGAGGGUGACCGGCCACACUGGGACUGAGAUACGGCCCAGACUCCUACGGGAGGCAGCAGUGGGGAAUAUUGCACAGUGGGCGCAAGCCUGAUGCAGCGACGCCGCGUGAGGGAUGACGGCCUUCGGGUUGUAAACCUCUUUCAGCACCGACGAAGCGCAAGUGACGGUAGGUGCAGAAGGAGGACCGGCCAACUACGUGCCAGCCGCCGCCGUAA